rnacentral:rRNA from 1 species
UCCGGAUUUAUUGGGCUUAAAGGGUGCGUAGGCGGCCUAUUAAGUCAGGGGUGAAAGACGGUAGCUUAACUAUCGCAGUGCCUUUGAUACUGAUAGGCUUGAAUGUAGUUGAGGUAGGCGGAAUGUGACAAGUAGCGGUGAAAUGCAUAGAUAUGUCACAGAACACCAAUUGCGAAGGCAGCUUACUAAAGUAUGAUUGACGCUGAGGCACGAAAGCGUGGGGAUCAAACAGG